CUCGUAGGCGGUUUGUCGCGUCUGCCGUGAAAGUCCGGGGCUUAACUCCGGAUCUGCGGUGGGUACGGGCAGACUAGAGUGCAGUAGGGGAGACUGGAAUUCCUGGUGUAGCGGUGGAAUGCGCAGAUAUCAGGAGGAACACCGAUGGCGAAGGCAGGUCUCUGGGCUGUAACUGACGCUGAGGAGCGAAAGCAUGGGGAGCGAACAGGAUUAGAUACCCCCGUA
rnacentral:rRNA from 1 species